ACUUUGCUGGAGAUCUUUGCUUACCUGAAGUCUUCUAAAGCAACUCCUUUCCUCGGUGCCUGGACCACCCGCCUCUUGGAGAUGACCCCGGCCUCAGCCUCUUCCCAUGGCAAUGUGACUCAGCGCUCUUUGGAACAGCUGUCACAGCUGUGUGUCACCGAGUAAGGAGGGAACAGCAAAAAGCCACAACACCUCCAGUGUAGAGCUCAUCUGCAAGACAGAGAAGGCAGACUUGCAUUCUCUGACACUGUAAAAGAACGUUAAACUCAGUUAUAUGAAUUCCAGGCAAAACGUAAAAGAACCUCUCUCCUCUCCUUAUGUCCUUUCCCAGAGGUUUUGUCAGCACUUUUCUGCCCCACAUGUUCUUGGAGGCUGUUUCUAACAGCUGUGUGCCCAGUGCCUGUCUGCCUGUGUUCAGCAACAAGAAUUUAGGCGUUUAGGGAUUUUUAAAAGUUAGAAACACACUCUCUUAAGAACUUAACCAAACUGAGGUAGAAGCCAUGGGGGAAAUUUUCAGGAUCUAUAUUUUAGUUUUAAUCGCCCAAAUCCCUUCAGGGAGCUUCACAUACCAAUUAGUGACCAUUUUAGUGGUAAUGAGGAAGGAAGAAUCAAGUACAAAAAAACAAAGUUUGCUGGAAAAUUGAUGUCUGGCACAGUUUGAAAAAAUGUGAUAAACAAGAUAACAAGCAACAGGAGCAGAAGUUCGUUUUUGACAGAUGCAGCCUUUAGAUUAGUAUGACAAUUAUUUUCAUUAUGAUGGAAGCAAAUGUAACUUUGCAUUUUGUAGCUGAUAGUGGACAAUCCACUGGUUGUGCAGAGAUGGGCAAAUACCAUAAAUUGCUAUGAAAUGUUAGAAAUUCUCUCUGGGCCAGUCCAGUCAGCAUGUAUCAAGGUAUUCAUUUGGAAAAAAACAACACAUUUUGGGCAGCAGUGACCUCUCUGAAGACCUCCUCUAAAAGCUGCCAGUGUUGAUUUGGAUUUCGUGGAAUAAUAGAAAAUGUUACGCUGUUUUUACAAGCCUUCCCAUUAUUUUGGUUGGUAUGGGAAUGAGUAUUAAGACAAGCUCUUCCAUAUACAUUCUUGGAACGAAUGAUCCCUAAUACUGACUUUCAACCUGGGAAAAUCUAUUAGCACUUUGCCUAGCACCUAGAGCUUUUCUAAUCUUAACUUUUUGACUGUAAAUUUUCUUUCAGCUUUUCAUGUCAUGGCUUUCUGUCACCUGUUGAAGCAGAAUUAUUUAACAGAUAUUUGCUUCUUUAUCUUCAGACAGUUCUUCACAGUAUUUUACCAUCUGGCCAUCAUGGCCUGUUUUUCUGCAUGUCAUCUGUUUCUGAUUUAACAAUUCUAGUCUGUGGUUUAGAAACUCUUGUCUGUGACCUCCGUAUCUUGAAUAUCCUCUGUGAGUCACCUUCAUCGUUGCUGUCUUCUAAUUCCUCUCACUUCUUCUGAUCUCCUU
rnacentral:lncRNA from 1 species